UACUGUUUAUUGCAGCAUUUGUUAACUGACUGCAGAUAAAUAAUGCCAAUACAUGGUAAUUAAUGGGCAGCAAAGAAGCCGCUAAGCAAGUUUCCCUGGUUUAUGGUCAUGUUAAGUGUCGUGUCUGGCAAAUAUGCUCCAAUGUGAAGAAGGACAAAGUGGACCCACCUACGACUCUCUGCAGGACGUCAUUGACAAGAAGUCCUUCAGACCUUCUGUCAAUCUCAGUAGCCCCACCAUAACCAACAUCUCCUUCACUCUCUAUGCCAUCUUGGGAGUGAAUGAAAAAACACAAUAUCACCACCUUUCUCUGGCUUAGGCUGUACUGGUUCCAUGAGUUCCUGAUUUGGGAUCCAGAAGCCUGUGACGACAUUACGAAGAUCUCUCUUCCUGUCAAAGAUCUCUGGACUCCUGACAUUUGUGUUUAUGAGUUGUGAGAGCCCUCUACUGGGGAGGUUUGGGACUUUUGUAUUGCUCUUAGGAGAAUUAAUCUGGUUUACAUACAUAAGUGACAACUUAAGAUGUUUUCCCCAAAGAUGAAUAGACAUUGAUUUUACUGCUCAUCUGGGUACAAUAUGUACAAUAUUAUCCUCCUUGUGUCAGGACUCGGGUAUGAUCGGUCCUUUUUUUUCCUUUAUUUUUCUCUCUUUACUUAUUUUUUUAGUUUCAGCUCAUUUUUCUAAAGUUUCAUUCGUUUUGGUUCCCAUUUUUUCUCUCUCAUUUAUUUUAAUCUAUUUUCUCUGGUUUCCAUCCCCUUCGCCCUAGCACCAGCUGAUCCUGUUUUUAUGCUGCAGCUGUCUGACGCACCUGUUCCCUUUAUCUCGUUUCUCACCCUAUUUAUUCUGCUUGAUUUCUGUACUCUUUGUCAGUGUGUUCUGUGAUUAUUUUGCAUUUUCAGCUUCAGAUCCGUUCUGUCUCUCCUCUCAGUUCUGAGCAAUAAUUUGUAGAGUUGGGGUACUCGAACUUGGACUCGGACUCGAGUCCAAUUUUGAAUGAACUCGGACUUGUCACGCACUCGGGUGAAUUUGUACUCGGACUUGACACGGACUUGAACAUUUUGGACUCGGAAAAUAUUCCGAGUACAGUCGAGUCCACGUCAUGUGUAUUAAAUAAAAUCAGCAUAAAAUUGAAAUGAUAAAUUAAUGAAUGUCUCCCCUUCUGUCAUUUUACUGCACCAUACCGGCAGGCAGAAGUCUCAUGCUUGCAGACGAAACACACGCACCACUCACUGGAUA